GUCAUAGGAUCAUGUCAGCUGAACUCAAUUAAUGAAACCAGGAAUGAAUGCCAUCACCCAUCUUGUGAGCUGUUGAGGGAGAACAACCACAGGCUGCAGAGGGAAAAUGAUUCUCUCAAGGCAAAAAUAGCAACAUUGAAAUUGCUGCCAGACGUUUUGCAGAAGAUGGAGGAGUUUCUUCGCUCAGCACCAAGACCAACGACAACACCAAUACCAACACCAAGACCAAGACAAAGACCAGAACCAACCCUAUCACCAGCACAGAGGCCCUGGGCCACUCUGUCAUUCCAAAAGGACUUGUGGAGCGCUGCUCCUUCCAAAGCCCCAAGAAGUUCAUAAAUGAUCUACAUGGGAUGUAUACCAGGGAAUAUAUGGCAGGCCAUUCAGUGACUGGCCAGUCAUCCAGCAGCUGCACAGAAGGAAAACCUGGCCUAGCCAAACAGGACCUUGUUGAAAUAACAAAUGCUGCAAAGUUGAAGUUCACCUGCGUAACUGAUACGAACAUAAAAGCAUUUAUACAACAAAAGCUGAACAAUGCUGCCAAAUUUCAG